GCGGGUGUCGUCUAAUGGUAGGGCCGAAGCUUCCCAAGCUUCUGACGAGGGUUCGAUUCCCUUCACCCGCUCCA
rnacentral:tRNA from 1 species